AUUUCAACUUUUGGUCCUCCUUCCUUGUAUUUUCUUGAAAACUGGGUGAAGCAAAGCAAGAAAAAUGAUGAGAGUUUGUGGAUAAAUUUAUAUACAAUAUACCCAAUUAUUUUUAAUGUGAGAUGGUAGGAAAGGUGUUUUUCAACAAACUUGUAUGCUAUAAUUUUAUAUGCUUUGGCUGAACAUGAGAGUAAAUUCAAACUCCUAAACAUGGAAGAAUCAAGUGUCGCAGGUUCCCUCCUGUAAACUAUAAAUCCAUGCAUCAUCAUGAACUCGUCUCAAUGGGUUGAGGCUGGUAAAACAAAGAAAAUAAAUAAUUCAAAGUGAAUAGAAAAAAAACCCACUAAAGGGCAAUUGCAUUUAUUCACAACGUCUCCCUGGCUAUCAAUACAACCAGGAAACAAUGAUUUACCUCAUCACAUACAUCAUACUACCUGUAAAUAGCCGAAUGAUUUAAUGAAUGUUCUUAUCUGAUCUUCUUUAGUUCUGGUUUCUAUGAAAGAGUUCGAAGAUAGUGAUAGCAAGAUACCAGGUAUCAUUUUCAAGGGCGAGCUCCGUCUGCUUGACUCCAACGCUCUAGAAGAGUUUGAAUAAACGAGGUGCCUGGAUUCUUAAUCUUUUCCACCUGCUUCUAAUCAGAACAGGAUGCAGACCAAGUAUAUGUACUUUGAGACAAAGACUACUUCAUCGUUUUAUUAACGUACUUCGAAAUAUGCUGUUCAUCUCGUUAUAUAGAGGGAUCCUAUUAUGAGAAACAUAAACAAAGUUAAGUCCUAACAUGUCAACAUGAGAGGAGGUAAUCACUGCAGUUCUUCUGUCAAGUAUCAACCACUUGUUCCAGGAUUAUUGAAAAAUAAUGUUGCAUUGCUUGAUUCGUCCCUAGUUAACCUGGCCCGAAUCAUAAUUAAUGCCUAGAAGAUUUACAUUUUAGAUAAGGGCGACAUGGAUUAUUAAUCUUUUCCACCACUCCAAACACAGGAGAGAGAUCUGCUAGUUUUUGAAUACAAGGGAAAUUCCAAGUGCUCUGUAUUUAUAUGUAAAGAAAUGGACUGCCCAGCUGGCGAUACUAAUUCAGCAUGCUGUGAACGAGGUGGACGCUUUGAGGAAGGUAUGGAAGAUGGAGACUAACUUGAAUUCUUGGCUAAAUUUUCAAGAGAAAAACCAGAAGUAUCCCUUUCAGUGUCCAAGACCGAGUCUGAUUCACGUAGUUGCAUAAAAAACUUUUUUUUUUUUUUUUUUUUUAUGUUAAAUCAAUUUAUGAUCUUUAAAAACACAAAAAACCUUCCCAUAAUCAGAAGAUGGAGUCUGAUUGCUUUAACAAGGUUUUUAAAGUGCUUCCUAAUUUAGGUUAACACACACACACACACACACACACAUAUAUAUAUAUAUUAUGCAAGGCCAUAUAUUAAAAGUAGUAUAAAAAAAUACAUACUGAUUUAUAUAAAAUAUAUAAAAAAAACAUUAUAGAUGAAUGAUACUAACCUUUUGAAAAAAUAAAACAUUCAAUAUAAUUAAAAAAUAAUAGCUAUUUCAAAAAUGCUAAAUAAGACAAUAAAUCAUAAAAAGGUUAGUAUGAUAUAUUUUAAUUAAGAUUUUUUUUUUGAUUUAUUGUCUUAUUUAGCAUUUUUGAAAUAGCUAUUAUUGUUUAAUUAUAUUGAAUGUUUUAUUUUUUUCAAAAAGUUAGUAUGAUUCAUCUAUAAUGUUUUUUUUUAUAUAUAUUUUAUAUAAUUCAGUAUGUAUUUUUUUAUACUACUUUUAAUAUAUGGCCUUUGUUUUUCUUUUAUUUUUUUCUAUAAAUUUUAUUUGUGUCAAUUUUUAUUACAAAUUGAUUUUAAUAAAUAAAUUUAGUAGACAUAACUAAGUAAAUGACUCAUAUUACGAUAUUAAAUAUCUUGAUUUACAUUGAUUUCUUAAAUUUUUUGAAUUAAAUUUUAGUUAUUGUUCACGACUUUUUUUUUUGUAAAAUUUAUUUACAAAAUAAUUUAUAAUUUAUUUGAUUUGAAGUGUGUAUAAGUUUUUCGGUUUAUAUUUAUUAUUUUUUUAAUGUAAAGAAAGGCGUUAAGAAAUUCAUGCUCAAAUUUUUAAUAUAUAUUGGUAUUUUCAAUUUAUUUUUUUCUUAAAUCCUUUUAUAAAUUUUUUAUUAUUUAUAAUUUUACUCUCCAAUCUAAGUUGAUAAUUAUAUUAUUUUUAUAAAAACUAACUUCUUUAAUUGAUUGAGACUAUACCUGAAUUAUUAGAUUUCUUUCCUUUCAAAACGUGCUUGCGACGUUAGUUUUCAACUAUAAAUAGGCAUCAUUCGUAUGAGCAAAGUAGAGCCGAUUGUAGAAGGAAAAGUGGGGUAGAGAGCUGUCUUAGCAACAGCUUGCAGUGGCAAGCUGAGUGAGAGUCAUGGGAGUUGAGUGAGAGUAAACUAUAAGUUAAUGGUGAACUUUCACAUGAAUAAUCUGCCCCCCUAAUCAUCCGUUGCCCUAACUAUACAGUAUCUCUGAUAUACAGAUAGAUUUUUAGCCUGCCUGAUGAAUGAUGACUAGCUUCUGGCUUCAAUUUCAACUUUUGGUCCUCCUUGUAUUUUCUUGAAAACUGGGUGAAGCAAAGCAAGAAAAAUGAUAAGAGUUUGUGGAUAAAUUUAUAUACAAUAUACCCAAUUCUUUUUAAUGUGAGAUGGUAGGAAAGGUGUUUUUCAACAAACUUGUAUAUCCUAUAAUUUUAUAUGCUUUGGCUGAACAUGAGAGUAAAUUCAAACUCCUAAACAUGGAAGAAUCAAGUGUCGCAGGUUCCCUCCUGUAAACUAUAAAUCCAUGCAUCAUC
rnacentral:lncRNA from 1 species